rnacentral:rRNA from 1 species
UGGAGAGUUUGAUCCUGGCUCAGAUUGAACGCUGGCGGCAGGCCUAACACAUGCAAGUCGAACGGUAACAGGGAGCAGCUUGCUGCUCUGCUGACGAGUGGCGGACGGGUGAGUAAUGUCUGGGAAACUGCCUGAUGGAGGGGGAUAACUACUGGAAACGGUAGCUAAUACCGCAUAACGUCUUCGGACCAAAGUGGGGGACCUUCGGGCCUCAUGCCAUCAGAUGUGCCCAGAUGGGAUUAGCUAGUAGGUGGGGUAACGGCUCACCUAGGCGACGAUCCCUAGCUGGUCUGAGAGGAUGACCAGCCACACUGGAACUGAGACACGGUCCAGACUCCUACGGGAGGCAGCAGUGGGGAAUAUUGCACAAUGGGCGCAAGCCUGAUGCAGCCAUGCCGCGUGUAUGAAGAAGGCCUUCGGGUUGUAAAGUACUUUCAGCGGGGAGGAAGGCGUUGUGGUUAAUAACCACAGCAAUUGACGUUACCCGCAGAAGAAGCACCGGCUAACUCCGUGCCAGCAGCCGCGGUA